UACGAAGGGUGCAAGCGUUAAUCGGAAUUACUGGGCGUAAAGGGUGCGUAGGCGGUUCGUUAAGUCUGUCGUGAAAUCCCCGAGCUCAACUUGGGAAUUGCAGUGGAUACUGGCAGGCUGGAGUAUGGUAGAGGAAGGUGGAAUUCCCGGUGUAGCAGUGAAAUGCGUAGAGAUCGGGAGGAACACCAGUGGCGAAGGCGGCCUUCUGGACCAAUACUGACGCUCAUGCACGAAAGCGUGGGGAGCAAACAGG
rnacentral:rRNA from 1 species